rnacentral:rRNA from 1 species
UCCGUAGGCGGUGCGGCAAGUCGGAAGUGAAAUCUCUGGGCUUAACUCAGAGGCUGCUUCCGAAACUGCCGUGCUCGAGUGCGAGAGAGGCAAGUGGAAUUGCGGGUGUAGCGGUGAAAUGCGUAGAUAUCCGCAGGAACAUCCGAGGCGAAAGCGGCUUGCUGGAUCGCAACUGACGCUGAGGGACGAAAGCUAGGGGAGCAAACAGGAUUAGAUACCCUGGUAGUCCUAGCCCUAAACCAUCAGGACUUGGGGUUUGCCCUGUACGGGCAAGUCCCGGAGCUAACGCGUUAAGUCCUGCGCCUGGGGAGUACGGUCGCAAGGCUGAA